GCAGGAUAGAGAGGGAGGGAGAGUGAGGGAAUUAGCAGGAUAGAGAGGGAGGGAGAGUGAGGUAAUAAGCAGGAGAGAGAGAGGGAGAGUGAGGUAAUUAGCAGGAGAGAGAGAGAGAGAGAGAGAGAGAGAGAGGUAAUUAGCAGGAUAGAGAGAGGGAGAGUGAGGUAAUUAGCAGGAUAGAGAGGGAGGGAGAGUGAGGGAAUUAGCAGGAUAGAGAGGGAGGGAGAGUGAGGUAAUAAGCAGGAGAGAGAGAGGGAGAGUGAGGUAAUUAGCAGGAAAGAGAGAGGGAGGUUGUUUGCAGGAGAGAGAGAGGGAGAGUGAGGUAAUUAGCAGGAGAGAGAGAGGGGGUUAUUAGCAGGAGAGAGAGAGGGAGAGUGAGG
ensembl:lncRNA